rnacentral:rRNA from 1 species
GGAGCUUGCUCUGUGGGAUCAGUGGCGAACGGGUGAGUAACACGUGAGCAACCUGCCCCUGACUCUGGGAUAAGCGCUGGAAACGGCGUCUAAUACUGGAUAUGUGACGUGACCGCAUGGUCUGCGUCUGGAAAGAAUUUCGGUUGGGGAUGGGCUCGCGGCCUAUCAGCUUGUUGGUGAGGUAAUGGCUCACCAAGGCGUCGACGGGUAGCCGGCCUGAGAGGGUGACCGGCCACACUGGGACUGAGACACGGCCCAGACUCCUACGGGAGGCAGCAGUGGGGAAUAUUGCACAAUGGGCGCAAGCCUGAUGCAGCAACGCCGCGUGAGGGACGACGGCCUUCGGGUUGUAAACCUCUUUUAGCAGGGAAGAAGCGAAAGUGACGGUACCUGCAGAAAAAGCGCCGGCUAACUACGUGCCAGCAGCCGCGGUAAUACGUAGGGCGCAAGCGUUAUCCGGAAUUAUUGGGCGUAAAGAGCUCGUAGGCGGUUUGUCGCGUCUGCUGUGAAAUCCGGAGGCUCAACCUCCGGCCUGCAGUGGGUACGGGCAGACUAGAGUGCGGUAGGGGAGAUUGGAAUUCCUGGUGUAGCGGUGGAAUGCGCAGAUAUCAGGAGGAACACCGAUGGCGAAGGCAGAUCUCUGGGCCGUAACUGACGCUGAGGAGCGAAAGGGUGGGGAGCAAACAGGCUUAGAUACCCUGGUAGUCCACCCCGUAAACGUUGGGAACUAGUUGUGGGGUCCAUUCCACGGAUUCCGUGACGCAGCUAACGCAUUAAGUUCCCCGCCUGGGGAGUACGGCCGCAAGGCUAAAACUCAAAGGAAUUGACGGGGACCCGCACAAGCGGCGGAGCAUGCGGAUUAAUUCGAUGCAACGCGAAGAACCUUACCAAGGCUUGACAUAUACGAGAACGGGCCAGAAAUGGUCAACUCUUUGGACACUCGUAAACAGGUGGUGCAUGGUUGUCGUCAGCUCGUGUCGUGAGAUGUUGGGUUAAGUCCCGCAACGAGCGCAACCCUCGUUCUAUGUUGCCAGCACGUAAUGGUGGGGAACUCAUGGGAUACUGCCCGGGGUCAACUCGGAGGAAGGUUGGGGAUGACGUCAAAUCAUCAUGCCCCU